rnacentral:RNase_P_RNA from 1 species
AGUGGUCCGGGUGACCGCCUGUCAUUGCUUUUGCGAGGGCGGGAGGAAAGUCCGAGCACCGCAGGGUUGGAUGGUUCGUAACGCGAACCGGGGGUGACCCCAGGGCGAGUGCCGCAGAGAGAAGACCGCCCGCCCUCGCUCCGGCGAUGGCGGGUAAGGGUGAAAGGGUGAGGUAAGAGCUCACCAGUGUCGUCGGUGACGGCGGCAGCUAGGUAAACCCCAUCCGGUGCAAGGCCAAAUAGGGGAACGUUUGAGGGCGACCCGUCCGAAGUUUCCGGGUAGGCCGCUUGAGGCCGUCGGCGACGGCGGUCCCAGAUGAAUGGUCACCUUCCUCCGACGCUCCGGCGGAAGAGGAAACAGAACUCGGCUUACAGGGCCACUCC